rnacentral:rRNA from 1 species
UACGUAGGGUGCAAGCGUUGUCCGGAAUUAUUGGGCGUAAAGAGCUUGUAGGCGGUUUGUCGCGUCUGCUGUGAAAACUCGAGGCUCAACCUCGAGACGCCGAUGGAAACCAUCUGACUAGAGUCCGGAAGAGGAGAGUGGAAUUCCUGGUGUAGCGGUGAAAUGCGCAGAUAUCAGGAAGAACACCCGUGGCUAAGGCGGCUCUCUAGUACGGUACUGACGCUGAGACGCGAAAGCGUGGGGAGCGAACAGG